rnacentral:rRNA from 1 species
GACGAACGCUGGCGGCGUGCUUAACACAUGCAAGUCGAACGGAAAGGCCCUGCUUUUGUGGGGUGCUCGAGUGGCGAACGGGUGAGUAACACGUGAGUAACCUGCCCUUGACUUUGGGAUAACUUCAGGAAACUGGGGCUAAUACCGGAUAGGAGCUCCUGCUGCAUGGUGGGGGUUGGAAAGUUUCGGCGGUUGGGGAUGGACUCGCGGCUUAUCGGCUUGUUGGUGGGGUAGUGGCUUACCAAGGCUUUGCCGGGUAGCCGGCCUGAGGGGGUGACCGGCCCCAUUGGGACUGAGAUACGGCCCAGACUCCUCCGGGAGGCAGCAGUGGGGAAUAUUGCACAAUAGGCGGAAGCCUGAUGCAGCCCCGCCGCGUGCGGGAUGACGGCCUUCGGGUUGUAAACCGCUUUCGCCUGUGACGAAGCGUGAGUGACGGUAAUGGGUAAAGAAGCACCGGCUAACUACGUG